CGUGCUUAACACAUGCAAGUCGAACGGAAAGGCCCUGCUUUUGUGGGGUGCUCGAGUGGCGAACGGGUGAGUAACACGUGAGUAACCUGCCCUUGACUUUGGGAUAACUUCAGGAAACUGGGGCUAAUACCGGAUAGGAGCUCCUGCUGCAUGGUGGGGGUUGGAAAGUUUCGGCGGUUGGGGAUGGACUCGCGGCUUAUCAGCUUGUUGGUGGGGUAGUGGCUUACCAAGGCUUUGACGGGUAGCCGGCCUGAGAGGGUGACCGGCCACAUUGGGACUGAGAUACGGCCCAGACUCCUACGGGAGGCAGCAGUGGGGAAUAUUGCACAAUGGGCGGAAGCCUGAUGCAGCAACGCCGCGUGCGGGAUGACGGCCUUCGGGUUGUAAACCGCUUUCGCCUGUGACGAAGCGUGAGUGACGGUAAUGGGUAAAGAAGCACCGGCUAACUACGUGCCAGCAGCCGCGGUGAUACGUAGGGUGCGAGCGUUGUCCGGAUUUAUUGGGCGUAAAGGGCUCGUAGGUGGUUGAUCGCGUCGGAAGUGUAAUCUUGGGGCUUAACCCUGAGCGUGCUUUCGAUACGGGUUGACUUGAGGAAGGUAGGGGAGAAUGGAAUUCCUGGUGGAGCGGUGGAAUGCGCAGAUAUCAGGAGGAACACCAGUGGCGAAGGCGGUUCUCUGGGCCUUUCCUGACGCUGAGGAGCGAAAGCGUGGGGAGCGAACAGGCUUAGAUACCCUGGUAGUCCACGCUGUAAACGGUGAGUACUAGGUGUGGGGUCCAUUCCACGGGUUCCGUGCCGUAGCUAACGCUUUAAGUACCCCGCCUGGGGAGUACGGCCGCAAGGCUAAAACUCAAAGGAAUUGACGGGGCCCCGCACAAGCGGCGGAGCAUGCGGAUUAAUUCGAUGCAACGCGUAGAACCUUACCUGGGUUUGACAUGGAUCGGGAGUGCUCAGAGAUGGGUGUGCCUCUUUUGGGGUCGGUUCACAGGUGGUGCAUGGCUGUCGUCAGCUCGUGUCGUGAGAUGUUGGGUUAAGUCCCGCAACGAGCGCAACCCUUGUUCACUGUUGCCAGCACGUUAUGGUGGGGACUCAGUGGAGACCGCCGGGGUCAACUCGGAGGAAGGUGGGGAUGACGUCAAGUCAUCAUGCCCCUUAUGUCCAGGGCUUCACGCAUGCUACAAUGGCUGGUACAGAGAGUGGCGAGCCUGUGAGGGUGAGCGAAUCUCGGAAAGCCGGUCUCAGUUCGGAUUGGGGUCUGCAACUCGACCUCAUGAAGUCGGAGUCGCUAGUAAUCGCAGAUCAGCAACGCUGCGGUGAAUACGUUCCCGGGGCUUGUACACACCGCCCGUCAAGUCAUGAAAGUUGGUAACACCCGAAGCCGGUGGCCUAACCGUUGUGGGGGAGCCGUCGAAGGUGGGACUGGUGAUUAGGACUAAGU
rnacentral:rRNA from 1 species